ACACGGGGGGAGCAAGCGUUGUUCGGAAUCAUUGGGCGUAAAGAGCUCGUAGGCGGUUCCGUAAGUCAGAGGUGAAAUACAAUGGCUCAACCAUUGAAACGCCUUUGAAACUACAGAACUUGAGAUCGGGAGAGGAAAGCGGAAUUCCAGGUGUAGCGGUGAAAUGCGUAGAUAUCUGGAGGAACACCGGUGGCGAAGGCGGCUUUCUGGACCGAUACUGACGCUGAGGAGCGAAAGCUAGGGGAGCAAACGGGAUUAGAAACCCCAGUAGUCC
rnacentral:rRNA from 1 species